rnacentral:rRNA from 1 species
UACAGGGGGGGCAAGCGUUGUUCGGAAUUACUGGGCGUAAAGGGCUUGUAGGUGGCCAACUAAGUCAAACGUGAAAUCCCUCAGCUUAACUGGGGAACUGCGUCUGAUACUGGAUGGCUUGAGUUUGGGAGAGGGAUGCGGAAUUCCAGGUGUAGCGGUGAAAUGCGUAGAUAUCUGGAGGAACACCGGUGGCGAAGGCGGCAUCCUGGACCAACACUGACACUGAAAAGCGAAAGCCAGGGGAGCAAACGGG